rnacentral:rRNA from 1 species
UACGAAGGGGGCUAGCGUUGUUCGGAUUUACUGGGCGUAAAGCGCACGUAGGCGGAUUGGUCAGUUAGAGGUGAAAUCCCAGAGCUCAACUCUGGAACUGCCUUUAAUACUGCCAGUCUCGAGUCCGGAAGAGGUGAGUGGAACUCCUAGUGUAGAGGUGGAAUUCGUAGAUAUUAGGAAGGAACACCAGUGGCGAAGGCGACUACCUGGACUGAUACUGACACUGAGGUGCGAAAGCGUGGGGAGCAAACAGG